rnacentral:tRNA from 1 species
GCCCAGGUGGCGGAAUUGGUAGACGCGCUAGAUUCAGAUUCUAGUAAGCAUUAGGCUUGUGGAGGUUCAAAUCCUCUCCUGGGCA